CCUGCCCACCCCAGGCUCCUGGUGAACCUCACCCAACCAGCCCUGCUGUGUUUCGGGAAGGUCCCAACCGAUGCCACCUCCCGCCACCACUUCCUGCAGGUUCUGUCCCACCUGCAAUCCUACAAAGAGGCUUUCGCCAGCGAGAAAGUGUUUGGGGUGCUCAGCGAGAAACUCUACGGGCUCCUGCAGCUGGACUGGGAGCAGCGGCAGGAGGAGGACACUCUGCUGAUCGAGCGCAUCCUGCUGCUGGUGCGCAACGUUCUGCACGUCCCCCCCGACCCCGCCGAGGAGCAGGUACCGGGCUGGACCCUGCCCUGGUGACCCCAAAGUGACCCCACAGUGACCCCACAA